AAAGAAACAGAGAAAAGAGUGUGUUUCAUCGAAUUUAUAGGACAACUAUAUGAACUAUGGUCUUAAUUAUAUAACAAUAUCCCCUCCUCGUACACUGUAUGUGCAUGAAUAAACAAAGGCACACAGUACACACAAGGAUUUAAAACAAAUCCGACCUCUCUUGCAAGACAAUGAGGGAGAUUAGAAAGAUGGAACAUGAAUUUCUAUGUACGUACCUCUAAGUGAUCGCCAGUGUUGACCAAAAAGGCGUUCGGAAUGGGAUCGAUUUUGACCCACUUCCCGCCGUGGUGCACUUGGAGGCCGCCAAUUCCAUUCUGCAUAAGGAUGGUCAACAGGCCAUGGUCUGAGUGUGGUGGCAUGCCCAUAGCAAGUUUUGGCUGCGGGCAUGGCGGAUACAAAUUCGCCGUUAGUCUCUGCAAGCUUGAAUCCAUGUUCAUUGCCUCAUCAAUAUAGCCCGGUUCAAGUCCUAGGCUCUCCGAUAUACCCUUGAGCAGCCCCCUAGCUAAUUUCCGGACCACCCCAGCGUAUUCUGCUAAAACUUCACUGCAACAAACAUCGCUUUCAUUCAUCAAAGGAAAUGCUUGUGGUGUUCUCUUCAUCUUUAGGGAUGUUGCAAGUUUGUGUCACACAAUUUUUUAUUUUACGAGUUACUAAUUGUCCUGCUCUAUCAAAUUGAAUCCUAAACUUGUUAAUUUUCUCUAGGUGUACAAAUUUGUUCUUCUUUGCCAUCAAGAUUUGUGACAUCCUGAAAUUCGAGCCCUCUAUGGGAUAAAUGAGUGAAUUUCGUCAAUGCAUUGUUGGUUGAUCUCGCUCAAAAUUGAUCACUCCUAAGAUACUAACCUCGACGGGAAAAGCUAAUGAAGACAGAACUCGUACGACUAAAGAACUUGACCUGAGAAAAUGACUUGACUGUGAAACUUGCGUAAGGAUGAUCCUAUAGAUAGGCAGGCCGAUUUCAAGGAUGACUAGAAGUCAAUUCGCGGACAAAAUAUAAUGGAACCACAGGUGAUUCCAUUUAUUGUUAGUGAGCCCGCGAAUGAUCCUAUGUCGAUCCUCAGUAAUCGUGUACUUUGAAAUAAGAAUCUAUCUUCCGCAAUUUCAUGUAGUCAAUAACGUCCAUGUGUCGAGAUGUCUUGAACAUGGUUUAACACGAGUCGGUUACGCAUGAAUCCUCAAAGCCGCCCGUCAGUCUGAGUUGUACCUAAAAUGGUAUUGAGGGAAAUUGACAUGGCAUGAGAAUUAAAGAUUGGAUUUCGAAUUAUCGGGAAUGUCUAGGACGAACUUUGGAUGAUGCGACUUCAACAAUCAGCAAUGCCGAGCAAGCCGAGUGUGGGGAAAAAGGACUUAAGGACCGAGAAGGCAAGCCUAUGAGAACGUGGGUCGAGCAAAGCCAAUGUGGGCCUUAGGCCCAAGGUAGGACAGCCAUGGUGGGCCUAGGGAAAGAAAGUGAGCCCAUUGGGCCCAAAACCAUUAUUCCCCUUCCAAGCCCAUUACCAAACCUUAAGCCUGUUUGAGCCCAACCAAUUCUCGAGCCCGAUGCUAUUCAUUUCCAAGCCCAUUUCUUAGGCCUACCCAUCAAAUUUGGCCCAAUGGCAAAUUGGGAAUUUGUGCAAGGGGAAAUUACCAUUUUGCCCCUAAAAGCAAAAGGAUAAGGGCAAAGCAAGAGAGAGAAAGAUGAGGUGAUGUGCAUGGGGAUUUGGGGCUUUGAUGAGGUUUGACAACAACUUGAUCCUCUCUCUCUCCUCCUCCUCCUUCAGCCCAAACCGUCGAGCUCCUCUCUCCCCUUGUUCCUCCUUUUUUUUUGCUUUUGUUCUAGCAAACCUUCCUCCAAAGAUCUAAGUUGAUUGUUAGCUUCCCAGACGAAUCAACUCCCAAGCCACCCACCAACGUGUCGAGGACACCCAAACCAUCUGCCUGGAGUUGACCGUUCACCGGUCGGAGCCGUUGUUUGACCUACUAGCUGGCCAGAAGCUAGCGCUAGUCCAACCGUCUAGUCCUAUUCUGCUCUAGCUGACCUUUCUCCGAAAACUUGAGUUAAAAGUUACCUUCCCAUGCGAAUUAGCUCACACUCCACCAACCACUAUGACUAGCACACCUAGACCAUACCGAAGCACCCCGUCGCUCGCCGAAAUGAUCCGCCAGCCAUCCCGUCCGCCGGCAAAAAGUAACUAGCCGCUGGACCGCCUGGUUCUGGCUAGGUUCCCCUGUUUUGCCCUUGCAACCCGUUUUCUCCCAUUUUGACCCUUCCUCCACCCAUCCCAACCUCCAGCAACUCCUUGUUGACCCCCAAGUGUUGCCGGUUGCCGACUAACCCCUCGCCGGAGCUCCGACGAUGCCAUUUCACUCAUUUUUCUCCUUUGUUGUUCAGUUUCUUAAAAUUGCACAGGGAGUUCGAGCUUGUGGUUGUUGUUUUAGCCUUAGGACCACCUUGGAUCAUCAUGGUUGAGGUCUUGGUGCGUCGCCUCCAUCGUUGCCGCCGUGUGCAUGUCUCUGGCCCAUUUAACAAGUGAGUUUAACUCCUAAACCUCCGUUUAGUGCCUAAACUUGCUUAGAGUUGGUUUAAUUAGUGGUAGUUCUAGUUUAGGAUAUUUAAUUGAGUUAUAUUAGUCCUAAGAUAAGUGGUUAGAUUAGUGGCUAAGAUUAGUUUAGUUUAAUUUUACUUUAUCGGCUUAAAUGUGGUUUAUGUGCUUAAUUAGGCUUGUUUAACCUUAAUGGAUUAAUUUUUUGUUUUAAUUAGUGUUUUUAAUAACUUUUGGAUUUAAUUUAUUAAUUAUUAAAUUCUAGAAUUUAUUGUUCUCGAGUUACUGUUUACGAAACAUUGUUCAUGUAGUAGUUCACGCGGUACUGUUCACGUAGUAUUCUUCAUGCGGUACUGUUCACGAGUACUGUUCACCCAAAAAUGAAAAGUAUUCUAAAUUCAUGUAUUUUAAUCCUAUGAAGUGAAUGAGUGUGUAAAUGCAUGGGCAUCCGCAUGAAUUGAGUGAUUUUCACAAGAAGGGAAAUAUGGCAUCUUUGGUUUUGACUGUGCAUGAGUUGAGCACGUUGAUUAUGGUACACACGCAUGAAUCAAUAAUGUGCAGGGUGUGGCAAUGGUCAAAUGAGAUCGCUUGUCACGCGACUUGUAUGUGAUUGAUGAACUGUAUCAUCUAAUGGCCAUAUGCAUUGCGUGUAUUGUGCUGAGAUUCAACAUGAAGGGUAUGGCAUACCAGAUAAAGUUGCAUGCGAACCAACUAUUGAUUGUUGGUUGUUAGUUGUGGGUCAUUGUUUGUUUGUGGGGUGGUUCUAAAGAGAUACCACGAGUUGAUUAAUGUCCUAACCAGGGGCCGCUGAGAUUUAUAUCUCACUGGUUAUUGUAUGACCACUUUCAAGUCCUUAGGAUGGCACUUCUGCCAAUGAGAUUCGGUAUACCUAAGGAUUGGGAUACCAUCGCAACGCACCAUUGCUUCUUGAGUUGGGCACACCUGUACAAGAAGUAUCUCACCACCAUCUGGAUGGAUGAGGGACCGGGCCAAUGGAUACCCCAUAGGUUCCCAGCGUGGUUCAUCCAGAAUGGCGACAUGCUGAUUGGUCCUCUAAGAGGUUUUGACAAGCCGCCUAGUAGGGGCCCUGAGGAUGAUGACUGGGAUCCCAUGGAGCUGGACCCUCCUGACGGCGCAGUGGAGAAUCCUGGCCUCGCUUCACCAGCGACAAACCCGUACAGCUCCAACUCUGAAUCGAUGGAGCCUAAGUCCACCGAAUCCAAGUGAUGGCAGUGCCGAGCCCAAGGGUUCUUUUUGGUGUACAAUUGGGUUAGCCUAGACUAGUCUCUUUUUGGUUUGGCUUAGAGGAUGGAUCGGCCCCAUCUAUUGGGCUUGUAAAUCGGAAACAAUCCUCCGUAGGUUAAUCCAAUAUGAAAAUGUAAAAAUGUGUAUAUAUGAGUAGAUGUUGUGUUUUUGUUGUUCAUCUCACUAUCCCUGUUUGAUUGCUUGAUUGUUUGUUGAUGGGGAGAUGGUUCAUUUUUUGCUUGCGCAUAAUGAAAGAUUAAAAAUGAAAGGGUCGGCAAUGAGUCCUGAGAUAUCGCUUUCUAUCGACCAAGGAGGGGAAUGUUGCGUGCCCGGGGUUCGGGGUGUGACAAGAUUGUUGUGGCAACAAGCAAUCGUAUAAUAAAAUAGACAGAAUAAGAAAAUAAAUCGAACGCCCAAUAUACAUGAUUCAAUCAUUAGACUUAUGUUAACGAGGAGAGCAGCGGCAAGGAAUUCCACUAUUGUUCAAAAGAUAUAGCAGAGAUUACAAUCACACUUGACUUAUUCAAAUAUUAUUAAUGUUUCCUACCCCCAGUUACACCCAAUAAUCUCACAUGGUAUUUAGCCUCACAAUUUCCCAUGAGAUAAUCUAGCAAUAUCACAAAGGAAAUUAUAAAAUUUUAACACAAGAUUUUCAUGGCUUCAGACACUCAAAAUGUAAUUCACAGGCAAAAACUCCUCUUUAAUAUUAUUCACAAAGAAGUCAUUUCUUUUUAUAUAGAAGAGAUUUGGAUUCAAAAUAGAAAAUUUAUUCAAACUAAGAAUCCAACUCCGACUAGGAAAUUACUCAAAUUAGGAAAGUUUCCUUCCAAGAUUCAAAUUCAAUAAAUAUGUUAACAAAGACGAGCCAAAAUAAUGCUACCUUAAUACAAUACCCUGUAAUUUGUAUUUGCUGUGUUUCAAGACUGGCAGAUUUGUGGAUAAACACGGAUUUACUAUACAAAAUUAACAAACUGGAACCAAAGAUCCUAAAGAGCUUGCGCAUAGGACGGAUUGAAGUUCUUUGAGUUAAGAUCCCGAGAUUAAUUGAAUAGUCAAGUGCUCCAUGCAUAAAUGGAAAAUCUGACAUGAAAAUCACAACAUCUCGCAUUUAGGUAACUGUAGAGAUCGAGUCCGACACCCAAGUGGGCAGAGUCUUACACAUGGACAGAUUAUGAAAUUAGUCAAGUGGAAGAUUUGGAUUCCGUAUCAUCAGGGAAAAAGAAUUUGUUCAAAUUCCUUAUCAUGCUUUCUUUUUCUGAUAUAUCUAAUAAUUUUCUGCUGCGCACUAAGAUGUCGAUGCAUUGGUAACUCUAAAGUAUCCUGUCAAUGGAUUGUUAUAUCCCUGCAUCUACCAGGAUGGACCCGCCACUAAUCAAUAAUGCACCAGAAUCUCUAAUUUGUACAAAAUGACAAGAGCAUACUACUCCAUGGAGUCUUUGUCAUGAGCCUACUUUUUUGGUCCCAUUCAUUGACGAGUUCUAAUUGUUCACGAUUAGGCAAGAGAGGGAGAAAAUGGGUGUUACUAUCAUGACCUUGAGAUUCCUAAGCAUAAUGGGCUACUUCCAUUAGGUGGGGCCUCAAGUUGUUGGUCCCCGUCCAUAAGGCCACAUCUGGCUCCUUCUUAGAGGGAGAUGCAGCUACCCGCCCCGGGCCGGGGGAGGAGGAUGUGAGGUUUGUUUGGAUUUGUUUGGCCAGAUGGAUUGGGUAAAUCUUAAUGUGUUUGAGAGGUGAGUGGCUUUUAGAUGAUUUCGCAUGGUAGGUAAUGCCCCUGCCGGUCGAUUGCAGCAAAACCUUGCCUUUAUAACGAGCAAGGAAGUUCAACUUUAAGUAGAUCUCGCACAUAAAUACCAACUAAGUACCAUGGAUCAAAUAAUAUGGAAGCUAAUAUCUGGGUAGGCUUGUGGAGCAUGAGAUCGUGUCUAUUUGUGUGGGAGUAAACUCAAAAUUUUUGUAUUCUAAGGGAAUUAAGAAAACAGAAAAUCACACGGCGCUCAUUUCAAUAUUACAAGUUUUUUCUUUAACACAUUUGAAUGCCAUAAUUUCCGUACGACACUCACUUUGAGGGCUAUAAUUUUUUUCCAAUUUCUUGAGUGACAUAUAACUUUGUAAUUGAUCACUUAAGUAUACAACAUUUUUUGAAAUGUUCACAAGUGCUAUGCCACGUUAGAUUUUCAGUAGUUAGGUGAUCAUUUUUAAAAAAUUUUGACACUCAAGUAACCAAUUGAAAGUUAUAGUACUCUAGUAAAUGUCUUUUAGAAAUUAUGGCACUCAAGCGAUCGAGGAAAAAAAAAAAGUUAUGGCAUUUGUGUAGAAGAAGAAGAAUGGAUACCUGAAGCCUUCUGGUUUGGAAGGGCAGUGAAACUUUGGAUGCACCCUCACCUUCAGAUAAUCUCUCCAGAAAAAUACCUUGUCGACUGAAGUAUUGAAGCUCGUCCCCCAUCUUAUGCCGUCCAACACGUGCUUCCCUUCGAACUCCCUCUUCUCCUCCUCUGUCAGAUCGAAGAAUCCCAUCAGCAUGUCGACCAUCGCCUUCAUUUGGCCCUCGGGGACUCCGUGGUUGAUCACCUACUCACACAACCCAGGGGCCAUGAUCAAUACAUAGCAUACAUGACGCUGCCAGCAUAUGUAUAGAGUUUGUGUCAUACAGAUCAAGAUUGACUUCGAUACCAAUUCCCGCAAGAUAGAUUCAUUAUAAAAAAAUCAAAAAAUCAAAAAAAAAUCAAAAAAAUCAAAAAAAAAACAAGGUUUUGGGUUUGAUUUACGUGCAGCACCAAUCUCUCGGAGUCCAAGGCAUGAGAAAUAAUUAAUCAUGAAUUUUCUUUAGCUCCAGCAUGAAUGAACAACCAUCGGCAGAACCUUUACCAAAAAAAAAAACAACCAUCGGCAGAACCAACCAAUUCAAUAUGAACUGUCAGUCUUUUCAGUACUCAUGACAAGUUUGAUAAGUGAAAAGCUUAACAAAGAUCACCAACCGUUUGUUUUGGAUCUCCACGACCAGAUCGAAUAAAGAAAAGUACUAUGAAGCAGCUAAUCAGCUGAUGAACUGGGUGGGAACAUAUGUACCAUGAAGAAGCCCCAGUCUUGACAAGCCUUUGCAAGAUCCGAGACGACUUUACGCCGUUGAUCGGGAUUACUUGAGGAGAAGAGAGAGAAGUCGAUGACGGGGAUGGAGUCAUCGUGGUCAGAGUGGACGGCUUGAUCACUGGAAGCGGAGGUGGUGAAGGCGUAGUGGGAGGGGAUGGAAGUGAGGUUGGAAGAUUCAGCUAGAGUCUUAACACUCCCUACUUUGAGCCGAGAAGGAUUAGCUUCUUGAUGGAGUGAAGCAACUGGACAAACAGUAGCCAUUUGAGAUGAAACUCUCUCUCUCUCUCUUUCAAGAAAUCCAGCAGUGCAUGUGUAUAUCAAUUAUGAAAGAGAAGAUCUACUUCAAAAAAGAUGAAGGAAGAGUUCUUCGGUAAACUCUCCAAAACUGCCACGUGGCAGCUUCUAUUUUAAACAGUAAAUGCGCUUCCAUUUUCGAUGCCAGGUGCUUGAAAGUCAGGGCCUUGUGGAGCAUCAUACUAACUCCUCCGAGCCACCAAAAUAGCCCACUUCCCCCCACUGUAACCAAGUAAUUAUCAUCAGGGCAGAAGGCUUCUGAAGUAGAGGUAACCAUGGCUGCCCGCUUGGCUUGCUUAGCCAUGGUCAGGCUCGACCGGCCUUCAGGAGAAGAAAAUGGGCAAGCCUGGGCAAGUAAUUCUCUUUUUGAACCCAUCCUGUCUUCUUGGAUCCACUCCGGCCAGGUCAAUUUUGUAUUGGAAAAUUAGUAAUCUUGGAAAUGAGUGUGCAUGUCUAGACAAGGAUAGUUAAGCUCGGUACCAAUCCUACCCACCCAUUGAUCAUGUCUACUCUAGAGACAUUUCCAGGGAAAGCUGCCUUGGUCGAGACUCAAAAUAAUGACCACUCUUCCUCGGGCACAAUUUGAUCUUAUGUCUAAACUAACUCGGCUAAUCCGAGAUUAUGUAGCAAUUACAUUGUUUGUCUAUUUUCAGCAAUAGUUCAUAGAGAAGCGUCUAAGCACGAGUACUUAAACUCGCAUAAUUUGCCAUCCAAAUUGGCUUAACAAAUUUGUGGAUUACGGUUUAUCCCAAAAAGUGAUGAUGAAAAGAGAGAUCACUACACCGAUCUAUGAGUGUCUUGCCAGAUAGAAAGUUUCUUCAUUUUGUUUGGCUCUGUGAAAUGAUGGUGAACCAAUUCAAAGGGGUUUCCAAAUUGUAUCCUAUCACACCCCCAAAAACUACAAUAAUGAGGGUGAUAUGACAGUCCUUCCGCCCGAAGGACAUAGACUUAAAGCAACCCAAAAUCGACUUCCAAAAGUUCCCAUCAAUAGCAUUGUCCCUCUACUAACUGCUAACCAAGGAACCUUAAAAAGUUGGAAAAGAGAGGGGUGAGCAACCACAAGCUAGUACGUAUCUCUUAUAAAUAGAUCGAGCAGCCACUAUACAUAUAUAUAAGAUUAGAGCACUAUCAGAAACCCAUAGCCCAACUCUUUAAUAUACAUGUCAAAUUUUAUACUAGUUGUUUCAUUUCAACAAACUUUAUACAAUUUAGAAAAUACUCAUUUAAGCCAUCGUCGCAAUUCAUGCAUCUAUGGUUAAGUUCAUUGAUUAAUCUCUAUCAAAAACCACAUCAAUGGUCCAUCCAUUGAUCCAUCUCAUAUCGAAGCACACGUCGAUAGUCCAUCCAUUGACCAAUCUUUUGCUUAAUAUCAAGCCAUGGUCACGAUACAACGGUUGUUGAGUAAUGACAAGGUGAUCUAGAUUAUUCCCUUGGCAAGCUCUCCACUUACAAAGGUGGUUGCUUGGCCCAAAAGUAUAUCCUAAACUCGGUAUGCAUACCCACCAACCUUUCAAUGGGCUCACAUCAAUAUUGUGCACCAAUCCCACAUCUUCCAAAAAUUCAAUCCAUAAUCAAUCUCAUAAUCCACAAUGCAUUUCAUUAACCAAAAUGCAUAAUCUUUCUUCUUUAUCAAACUAAACACAUUUCAAAGGCAUUUCUCAUGGCGUUUCAAAAUCCAUUCCACAAACCCUUGACAUUUCAAAAUAUCUUUUAUAAAAGGUUUCUCAAAUCAUUAUAAAAUUCAUUGCAUAAUUCAAUUCAUAACACAAUACAUAUAAAUAAAUAAAUAUAUGUAUUCUUUCACAAUAACUUUUUUAAAACAAUUCUCAAACUAUUUCAAAAUUCCUUUCAUAAACCGUAUUCAAGAUGAAAUGUUUUUCAUAAAACCUUUCUCAAGUCAUGCCAUAUAAUCUUUUGCAGUACAGAUCAUCCACUAAAAAUGCCUUUUACAAAAGCAUUUCUCAUAUCAUUGAAAAAUCCUUUGAUAAACUCAUUCACCGAGUGAUGCAUAUACAUAAUCUUCCACACUUCCUUGAGUAACACAUUUUUUAAAACAUUCAUAAAUAACCAAGGAGUAGUAAUUGUCUGAUCUAGACUUUUAAGCUGCAAACAUGCUUUUUUAUAACUUAUUAUAUAUCCCUAUUUACCGCUUUCAAGAGAUAAGUUUACAAAUCCAUAGAAGAGAUAACACCACUCACCUAGAUAUUCUCCAAACCAAACAACAAUGCUUAUUUAAAUCAACGAACUCGUAAUCCUAUCAUAUAAGUGAGAGAUAACAUCAAAACCAAAUAAAAUGCCAUCUCAACUACAAGUCGACUAAACUAAGCUUAAACACUAACAAAAUAAUUUCUAUGGACUAACAAAUCGCCUACCCAAAACGAUUACUCGAACUUAAUCUCAACACGAAACUUGCCUGUCAAACCCUAAAAUUUCCCUUGGACCAAACCAUUACUUCAAAUUAACCUCCAUCAAACCUCACAUCUCUACAGCAACAUAUUCCACCAUUUUCAUGAAAUCCCAAAGCUCCUCAACUAGAAAAUCAAACUCUGCAGCUUGAUUUUCACAUAACUUCGAAUUUUAGCCCUAAUUCCGAAAACUACCCUGACUAGACAAAUGAGGAAUGCGAAUACUUAUUGGGCAUUACGAUACAUAGUCGACUCGACUUGAUGAGGUCCUUAUGACAUGUGGGCGCAAAACCCCUUCUUUCUUUUUUCUUUUCUCUUCUUUUUCUUCUUUUGUUGGCUCGUCUUCUUUCUUUUCUUUUCUUUUCUUUUUUUCUGGUCAACCUUUGACUUUUGAAUUUUCAACGCCGAUAUUACAUAUCCCACAACUCUUCUCAUUUUGAUGAUUAAAAGGGUUUUGCACACGGAGACAUGCAAACAAAGAGAGCCGUGUUUCCAUCAGUGGGGGCAAAACAAGUGCACCAUCACUAAACUUUUCUAAGGCUAUUCCAAUUCAAGGAAAUAGCAAACCGUUGAAAUUCAUUGCCUAAAGGCGCAAAAUGUUUAGAGAUUCGCACGGUACACAGCCAGCUCUCACGCUAGAAACAGAAAUCUUCGAAAGGAAAACCAAACAUAAGCACGAUAAUACAGCUCAUGGUUACAGCAUUCAAAGCUACAAAAAAAAUAGAACACAAGCGGUUGAUGCCUCGAGUGUUCAACAGGCCCUAUAUCUACAUUACGGACAUGGACAUGAUUUGAUAAGCGAGACCUGGAUCUUGGUGCAGGAGCCCCUCAUGUUGUUCUCCACAUCAGCCGUUUGCUUCUCUAGAUAUUGCUUUGAAGUCUGCAAAAAGACAACGGUUUAGGGGAACCGUAAAAACCAAAAGAAACCGAGGCUUAGAUGCCUCAGUGGUUCUGAUGCUUGGGGUCAAGUGCACAAUGCCUCAGCCCAAAUAGUCCAGAUUUUUUUGUGGACAAGAUAAUAUUCGAAACAAGUUCUUCGAGUUGCGGCGAGUACCCAAGAUUUUCAGCCUGAUGAAGUGGCCAUUUUUGGUGAAAUUCUAGACAGACAAUUUGCUAGCUCAUGCUGAUCAACCACCAUGAUUUUAUACAGCACAACAAAUUUAUGGUGUCUAAUCAGACAACAUGAAACUCUCCCUUCCAUUUUUCAUGUCAAGAAGAUACAUCACAAAAGGAGCAGCUUACAUGCUUUAAGUGCUAUAUGGUUCUUGGACCUCGCAUUACAUAGUAUCAAACGUUCCAUAAGGCUGCACUCCAAAGAGUCCAAACAGUCUAGAAGCAGAACCCAAUCACACGACCCUUUUUUAAGGGAUACAGCAUCAUAGUUCAGGCUGCACAAAAUCAUAUCUUGACCCGUUCCAGGCGCGAUUUCCCAUUGAGUACAUUGCUCAGAUGAAGUUCCAGGUAGUCCUUGUAUUUCAUCGCGAGGUACAUGGCACGGUUGUUCUCGCCAUCCAACAACUGCUCCACUGGUGCGACAACAGUGUCAGGUGAUGGUCCAAUAGAUUGAGGGAUUGACAUCCUUGUAGCCUUGCUGUUAACAACAGCUCGAUGCAAAACGCUCUUGUAUUUCCCAUUGCUCAUAAUCUUGUACAGUUGAAAGGAGUCAAGUAAAAAUUUUAAUUGCAAUAGGCUGAAUCGGUUCAAUGGGAAAAACAAUAGCAAAUCAAAAGAUUUGUAUAGACGUUUUAACUGAUUAAUAUCCAGUGAAAGAAUUAACGAAAAAAUGAAAUUCUUUCAGCAAAUUUUGAAGACAACUAUAUGCACUACAGUUUUUUUGUAUAAAAAAAUGUCCCUUCUACAAAGAUCUACGUAGUGUCUGCAUCUAUUAACCAACCAUACAGUGCACACCAAGAUUUGAAACAAAUUGGACGUCUCUUGAAGAGAGAUGAGGGAGAUUAGAAAAAUGAAACAUGAACUUCUAUAUAUAUGUACCUCGAGGUGAUCACCAGUGUUGACCAAAAAGGC
rnacentral:lncRNA from 1 species